rnacentral:lncRNA from 1 species
AGUGUAGUGGUAAGUGCAUACUGCUUGCAAUCAACAGGUUCCAAGUUUGAGUCUUGCUUGUUGCAUCAUGUUUUUCUUUUUUUCCUUCUUCAGCCAUACCUGAUUAUUGUUUUGUCCUCUGCCACUGACAAUAGGCUCUCAAGAAGAACCGACCUAGUACUAUCAGCCACAUCAACACGAUGGGACAUCACCGAGCCAUGCCCGGACUGUGGAAGCAACACUGAGAGGUCUCUAUCAAAGCACGACGCCGGAUACGUAUCCCGCUGACAGUGGGACCAGACGACUCUAGUCGUGGAGACCUCAGCAUUGGGGUCUCUACAGUGACCCCUACGCCGAAAGGGACGGGACAAUACAUCGUACCAGGCAUACGCCUACGUAUGAUAAAAGGUGAUGAUAAGGGGAUGACAAAAGACGAAGUUGUACCGAAGACAUCCCUAAGACACGCCAUGAGCUGACUCAACAGAACCUACCAAACACUACCACGUCUAAAUCGGAGUAGCAACAGAGAAGCGAACGGGACGCGAUGCCAUACCAGAUGUACGACGGCGCACGCCUCAACAGACGACUCCAUAGAGCUACGAGGCCCAGAAGCCUGACCCAACAGACAAGACCAGAAGGGCUACGAGGCCCAGAAGAAGGAGGCCAAACUCCACCCCAGUAGAAUACUAGUCCUCAUUGUAACGUCUACCCUUGGGCUAUAAAAUGGCAAAACAAACCCCAUCCAAACAUCAUUCCACAUCUCUACAACUCCACACAAGCACCCAGCUGUAACACGUUCCAAGCAAUAUUACAAUCAACACUGUACUGGACUAGGGCCCCGGCCUGAACCAAUAUAACCAACUCGCCUCAGAUCCAACCUCGAGCCCCUCGUAGCUCACCAUUUAGAGUGAGUCCGCACUAACACCCCUGCCGACACACAAAUCUUAUUGUCACUCGGUUCCAGAAACCACGACAGUAUGCUACUCAGAAUUCUUAGUUAGUAUGUUUAUAUUUAGGUUAUAUUUAACGAGUUAAUUUAGGUUAUAUUUAUUUAGUUAGUUUAGCUUCUAUACUUAGGUUUAAUGUUUAGAUUAUACUUUGUUAGUCAGAUUGGUUUAUCUUUAAUUAGUUAGUUUAGAUUAUAUUUAGUUACUAUGU